rnacentral:rRNA from 1 species
AGGCCUAACACAUGCAAGUCGAGCGGUAAGGCCUUUCGGGGUACACGAGCGGCGAACGGGUGAGUAACACGUGGGUGAUCUGCCCUGCACUUCGGGAUAAGCCUGGGAAACUGGGUCUAAUACCGGAUAUGACCACAGCAUGCAUGUGUUGUGGUGGAAAGAUUUAUCGGUGCAGGAUGGGCCCGCGGCCUAUCAGCUUGUUGGUGGGGUAAUGGCCUACCAAGGCGACGACGGGUAGCCGACCUGAGAGGGUGACCGGCCACACUGGGACUGAGACACGGCCCAGACUCCUACGGGAGGCAGCAGUGGGGAAUAUUGCACAAUGGGCGAAAGCCUGACGGAGCAAUGCCGCGUGGAGGAAGAAGGCCCGUGGGUUGUAAACUCCUUUUCUCAGAGAAGAAGACAUGACGGUAUCUGAGGAAUAAGCUCCGGCUAACUCUGUGCCAGCAGCCGCGGUAAU